rnacentral:tRNA from 1 species
UUAUAAGAAGCAACUUGCAUUUAAUUUCGACUUAAAAACUUGGGUAAUAUAUAUAUACUCCUUAUUUA